UACCAGCACCCCGAGUGGUCGGGACGAUUAUUGGGCCUAAAGCAUCCGUAGCCGGUCCUACAAGUCUUCCGUUAAAUCCACCUGCUUAACAGAUGGGCUGCGGAAGAUACUAUAGAGCUAGGAGGCGGGAGAGGCAAGCGGUACUCGAUGGGUAGGGGUAAAAUCCGUUGAUCCAUUGAAGACCACCAGUGGCGAAGGCGGCUUGCCAGAACGCGCUCGACGUUUAGGGAUGAAAGCUGGGGGAGCAAACCGG
rnacentral:rRNA from 1 species